CUCAAAAAACCCUUUAAACCCCCCAAAACCGCCAGAUUUGCCCGUUUUAACCCCGCUCUGCCCCCAUCCUGCAUGCGCUGGUGGGGCGAGGGGAUGUCUAACCGCCCUCCCCCGCCGCUGCAGCCCCCCGGGACCCCCGGGACCCCGGCUCCGGCGGCGCGCGCCGCGCGAGGAAGACAGUAGAAUGUAUAGUUAUCUCCGAGACGGGGGUGUGACCCUCCAACUAUACAAUCUACUACCUCAGCCCGCGCGGCGCCAGCUCCAGGGGGGGAUUCGGGGGGGUUUGGGUUUUUGGGGAAGAGGUUCCGGCCAUUGAAAGGUUUGGGAGGAGGUCCAGGUGAGCUGGGGGGAUUUACCUGGGGGGGUGACGUCGGCCGAAGCGGGGCCGGCUUUGGACGCCGCGUCCUGCUGGGAGAUUGGCAAGGUGGGCAAUGAAGGAGGGACCCUUCCCCACAUGCUGGGGAGGUUUUUUGAGGCGGGGGUUGUUUUUUUUUUGGUUUUUUUUUUGGGGGGUCUCUCACCUGGGCCUCCGCCCCGUCCUUGUCCUCGGGGCCGCGCUCGGCGCCUUUGGCCUCGUCCUCGGCCGCCUGGCGCCGGCGCUUCUCGCGCCGCUCGUCCAGCUCCUCGAAGAGCAGGGUGAGCAGCAGGAUGCGCGUGGCCAGGUUGGAGGCCUGGGGCAGGGUGGCCAUCUGGCUGAUCCACUCGGACACCGUCUUGGUGUCGCUGGUGGUCAGCGGCACGGCCGCCUUGAUCAGGACAUCGGCUGCUUCCCACACCUGGGGGUCAGCGGUCAGUGGGUCAGUAGGGUCAGGGGUCACUGGGGGUCAGCAGGGUCAGUAAGAUUUAGGGGAGGUCAGCGGGGGUCAGAGAAUCAAUGGUCAAUAGGGGUCAGUGUGGUUCAGAGGGUCAGAGUGAUCAGUGGGGUGCAAGGGGGCACCGGGCACACCUGGGGGUUCAGGGGGUCUCAGGGUGAGUUUAGGGGGUCUCAGGGUGGGUUUAGGGGUCUCAGGGUGGGUUUAGGGGGUCUCAGGGUGGGUUUGGGGGGUCUCAGGGUGGGGUUUGGGGGUCUCAGGGUGGGUUUGGGACAGGUUUAGGGCGGGUUUAGGCCAGGUUUAGGGCUCCAUACCUGCUGCACCACCUGUUUGAGCACCGAGUCCCGGUAGGCCAGACUAUUGCGGUGCAUGGCCGUCAUUGGGGUCAGGGGUCUCGGGGUGGGUUUGGGGGGUCUCAGGGCCGGUUCAGGGUGGGUUUAGGGUGGGUUUAGGGCGGGUUUAGGCUGGGUUCAGAGCUCCAUACCUGCUGCACCACCUGUUUGAGCACGCUGUCCCGGUAGGCCGGGCCGUUGCAGCACACAGCCACCAUUGGGGUCAGGGUGGGUUUGGGGAUCUCGGGGUGGGUUUGGGACAGGUUUGGAGCAGGUUUAGGGUGGGUUUAGGGCUCCAUACCUGCUGCACCACCUGUUUGAGCACGCUGUCCCGGUAGGCCGGGCCGUUGCGGCGCACGGCCGUCAUGAGCAGGUCACAGACGCGGUACACGGUGUCGGGCAGCUCGUCCAGCAGCUGCGAGCAGCCCGGCAGCAUCGAGUCCGUGAAGGCGCCGAGCUCGGCCGCCUCCAGGGGCUCGGCCCCCUCGAACUUCUCCAGGCACUUGGCCUCCUCCUCCUCCUGCCGCUCCCGCGCCCGCCGCUCCUCCUCCUCCUUGCGGCACGCGGCCUCCUGCGGGAGAACGGGGUGAGAAAUGGGGAGAAAUGGGGGGAAAGGGGGUUUGGGGGGAGAAAUGGGGGGGUUGGGGGGGAGAAAUGGGGGUUUGGGGGAGGGAAAUGGGGGGAAAAUGGGGUUUGGGGCAGGGAAAUGGGGGGAAAUGGGGGUUUGGUGGGAGAAAUGGGGUUUGGGUGGAGAAAUGGGGGAGAAAUGGGGCAGAAAUGGGGUUUGGGGGGAGAAAUGGGGGAGAAAUAGGGUUUGGGGCAGGGAAAUGGGGGUUUGGGGCAGGGAAAUGGGGGUUUGGGGGAUGUAAAAUGGGGGGAGAAUGGAGAUUUCGGGAUAGGAAGCAAGGACUGGGAUGGGGAGCGGGGUUUUUGGAGGCGCCACCUCCGGGGACUCGGCCCGCUGCUCCAUGGGGAUGUCCUGGCCCAGGGACAUGGCGAUGGCUCUCAUCAUCUGAUCCUCCUCGGACAUGCUCAGGUCCUGGGGGCAGCGGCACGGGCUGUGGGGACCUCCCCCAAACCACCCCAAAACCUCCCAGGAACCUCCCCCUCCCCCCCACAGAAACACUCAGGACCCCC
rnacentral:lncRNA from 1 species